rnacentral:rRNA from 1 species
AAUGAGCACACGAUGGAUGCCUCGGUGGCGUGGGCCGAUGACGGACGUGGCACCGCAACGAAAUGCGUGGGGGAGCUGCCUGCAAGCUAUGAUCCCACGAUCUCCUAAUGGGGCAACCCGCGUACCUUUUGGUACGCACCUCUCCUUGUUGAGAGGCGGGAACCGGGCGAACUGAAACAUCUCACGUAGCCCGAGGAACAGACAGUAUUCCCGUAGUAGUGGCGAACGAACCGGGAUUUUGCCCAAACCUCCUCCGUGUCAAGGCGGCAGCCGUUGCGGAGCGAGGGGUUGUAGGACGAGCGAUGGACCCCUGCCGGUGUCCACUGGCCAAGAUGAUGUGUACCCAAAGGCGCUUGGAAGACGCCGCCACAGACCGUGAUAGCCGGGUCGGGAUACCACUUCAUCUCCAGCCGCUUGUUCCUGAGUACCGCCGGGCACGAAGAACCCGGUGGGAAGCUGGGGGGACCACCUUCCAAGGCUACAUACCCACGCUGACCGAUAGCGCACAGUACCGUGAGGGAACGGUGAAAAGUACCCCGGCGAGGGGAGUGAAAUAGACCCUGAAAUCGUGUGCUUCCAUGCAGUCGAAGCAUCCUUGUGGUGUGACGGCGUGCCUUUUGGAGUAUGACCCGACGAGUUACCCUCCGUGGCUGGUUAAGGCAGUUGUAGCCGGAGCCAUAGCGAACGCGAGCCUCAAUAGGGCGAUAAUAUGUCGCGGGGGGUAGACCCGAAACCGUGUGAGCUACCCAUGAGCAGGGUGAAGUGUCCCUAACCGGACAUGGAGGCCCGCACCGGUGUCGGUUACAAACGGCUCGGAUGACUUGUGGGUGGGGGUGAAAUGCCAAUCGAACA